UAGCUCAGUCGGUAGAGCAUGGCGCCCGCAACGGCAGAAUUGUGGGUUCGAUUCCCAC
rnacentral:tRNA from 1 species